GUAUUUUUAGAACCAUGUUUUUGGCUUCUUUUCUCCCUCAGAUUCAUAUGUAACUUCAAAUUUUUGUAGUUCAUAUGCAUAUGUAUAACUUUAUAUGUAUGUAUAUAACACUGAAUUUGACCCAAAAGCAGAGAGAUCUAUGAUGUUUAAAAUGUUCCUGAUCUAUCUACUUUGUGCCUCACUUUCCUCACCUGAAAAAUGAAGAAAUUGGUCUAAUUGAGCUCUAAAAUCACCUCCAGUUCUGACAUUCCAAGAUCCUUGAAAUGGAACUCAAUGGGAAAUGGGUUAUAAGACUUGAGGCAUAUCUAUGUAUUUAUUUUACAAAAAUAUAUGCAUCCAAACCAGACAUAUUGGCACACACCUAUAAUUCCAUUGAGACAGCAGGAUUGCAAAUUUGAGGCUAGCCUCAGCAAUAUAGUGAGGCUCUAAGAAAUUUAGCAAGACCCUGUCUCAAAAUAAAGGACUGGGAAUGUGAUUCAGUGGUUAAGCAUCCCUGGAUUAAAUUCCUUGUGUAUAUGUGUGUGUGUGUGUAUACAUCUUAAAAAUAGAUUAGAAAUAUAUAUUUUUCUGUCUUCCCUCCUACAUAUUUACCCCUAAAUGUAAUUUUUAAAAUUGCACAAGUGUAAUUUUUAUGCAGCUAUUCCCAAGUUCAUGUUCAGUUAGAAAUGCCAACACCCUAAUGUCUGCCUGCUGUUGAUCUUAAUACUCUUCCCAAUGGGAGAGGAUUCUGCUCACUACUGCAUCUCUAUGUUGUUUAUCCUUAUUACUUUUGCUGGUGCUCCUUCAUUUCAAUCCAUACUUCAUUCUCUAACCUCAAUGUUUCAUGUUACCUUUGUAGCUUUCUACAUUGAAAUGUAUUCCUUCUAAAUUCUUUUGCAUAAGAUAUCACCUAAAUGUUUUAGAGGCUUUUGGCAAUUGAACUUAUAUCUGUACAGAAAGACUGGCUAAUGACAACCUAAGUGAGCAGCAGCACAAACACAUGUCAAAAGUAGGUUAACUCAGGGAUGUCCUGGCAAGGACAGGGUGUGGACUUUGCUUAUAAGACUAGGUUUGAGUCCUGGUUGUGUGUUAACUUAGCCUCAUGUCUGUAAAAAAGGGAUAAGUAUCUAUCUAUACACACACACACACACACAUAAUCAAGG
rnacentral:lncRNA from 1 species